rnacentral:rRNA from 1 species
UCGAACGGAAAGGCCUCUUCGGAGGUACUCGAGUGGCGAACGGGUGAGUAACACGUGGGUAAUCUGCCCUGCACUUCGGGAUAAGCCUGGGAAACUGGGUCUAAUACCGAAUAUGACCACGAGACGCAUGUCUUGUGGUGGAAAGCUUUUGCGGUGUGGGAUGGGCCCGCGGCCUAUCAGCUUGUUGGUGGGGUGACGGCCUACCAAGGCGACGACGGGUAGCCGGCCUGAGAGGGUGUCCGGCCACACUGGGACUGAGAUACGGCCCAGACUCCUACGGGAGGCAGCAGUGGGGAAUAUUGCACAAUGGGCGCAAGCCUGAUGCAGCGACGCCGCGUGGGGGAUGACGGCCUUCGGGUUGUAAACCUCUUUCAGCAGGGACGAAGCGCAAGUGACGGUACCUGCAGAAG